GACGAACGCUGGCGGCGGGCUUAACACAUGCAAGUCGAACGGAAAGGCCCUGCUUUUGUGGGGUGCUCGAGUGGCGAACGGGUGAGUAACACGUGAGUAACCUGCCCUUGACUUUGGGAUAACUUCAGGAAACUGGGGCUAAUACCGGAUAGGAGCUCCCGCUGCAUGGUGGGGGGUGGAAAGUUUCGGCGGUUGGGGAUGGACUCGCGGCUUAUCAGCUUGUUGGUGGGGUAGUGGCUUACCAAGGCUUUGACGGGUAGCCGGCCUGAGAGGGUGACCGGCCACAUUGGGACUGAGAUACGGCCCAGACUCCUACGGGAGGCAGCAGUGGGGAAUAUUGCACAAUGGGCGGAAGCCUGAUGCAGCAACGCCGCGUGCGGGAUGACGGCCUUCGGGUUGUAAACCGCUUUCGCCUGUGACGAAGCGUGAGUGACGGUAAUGGGUAAAGAAGCACCGGCUAACUACGUG
rnacentral:rRNA from 1 species